rnacentral:tRNA from 1 species
GUAUUGGUGGUUCAGCGGUAGAAUUCUCACCUCCCAUGCUGGAGACCUGGGUUCAAUUACCAGCCAAUGCU